CCUACGGGAGGCAGCAGUGGGGAAUAUUGGGCAAUGGGCGCAAGCCUGACCCAGCAACGCCGCGUGAAGGAAGACUGCCUUCGGGUUGUAAACUUUUUUUCUGAAGGACGAAGAAUGUGACGGUACCUCCGGAAUAAGCCACGGCUAACUACUUGCCUGCAGUCGCGGUAAUACGGCGGGGGCAAGCGUUAUCCGGAUUUAUUGGGUGUACAGGGCGUGUAGGCGGGAAGUUAAGUCAGAUGUGAAAUUCUGGGGCUCAACCCUGAGCCUGCAUUUGAAACUGUUUUUCUUGAGUGCUGGGGAGGCAGUCGGAAUUCGGGGUGUAGCGGUGAAAUGCUUAGAUAUACGGAAGAACACCGAUGGCGAAGGCAGAUUGCUAAACAGUAACUGACAUUGAUGCGCGAAAGUGUGGGUAGCAAACAGGAUUAGAUACCCGAGUAGUC
rnacentral:rRNA from 1 species